CUGCACUGUCUUUGAACCUGUGGAGCCUUACUUGUGGUUUCACAGGCCAAGCUACAGUGCGAGAGAAACGCUUGUUAUAACUGGGGCUUCUUUGGCGUCUCUACCAAGCUGCUCUUUUAAAAGCAAGUUACAUCU